GUCCUAGCCGUAAACGUUGGGUGCUAGGUGUGGGCGGAUAUCGACCCCGUCCGUGCCGAAGCUAACGCAUUAAGCACCCCGCCUGGGGAGUACGGCCGCAAGGCUAAAACUCAAAGGAAUUGACGGGGGCCCGCACAAGCGGCGGAGCAUGCGGCUUAAUUCGAUGCGACGCGAAGAACCUUACCUGGGUUUGACAUGCAGGGUGAAACCCGUGAAAGCGGGCGCUCUUCGGAGCCUGCACAGGUGGUGCAUGGCUGUCGU
rnacentral:rRNA from 1 species